GUUAAAAAGCUCGUAGUUUGAUUCCUGGCUGGGUCGCGAAGGCACGCCUGCGGGAUUGAGUCUGAGCGCCCAACCAUCCUUCUGUCAACUCUUCGGCCAUUUAUUUGUUCGUUGAGGGCUCAGAUAUUUUACCUUGAGAAAAUUAGAGUGUUUCAGGCGGGCUUUACGCCGGAAUACAUUAGCAUGGAAUAAUAGAAUAGGACUUCUACCUCUUCUGUUGGUCUGAGGGGCUGGAGUAAUGAUUAAUAGGGAUAGUUGGGGGCAUUAGUACUUAACUGCUAGAGGUGAAAUUCUCAGAUUUGUUAAAGACUAACUUAUGCGAAAGCAUUUGCCAAGGAUGUUUUCAUUAAUCAAGAACGAAAGUUAGGGGAUCAAAGACGAUCAGAUACCGUCCUAGUCUUAACCAUAAACUAUGCCGACUCGGGAUCGGGGGUGUGCAAUAUCCGCCUUCGGCACCGUAUGAGAAAUCAAAGUCUUUAGGUUCUGGGGGGAGUAUGGUCGCAAGGCUGAAACUUAAAGGAAUUGACGGAAGGGCACCACCAGGCGUGGAGCUUGCGGCUCAAUUUGACUCAACACGGGAAAACUUACCAGGUCCAGACAUAGUGAGGAUUGACAGAUUGAUAGCUCUUUCUUGAUUCUGU
rnacentral:rRNA from 1 species